GGGCGGUUAACUCAGAGGUAGAGUGCCAUCCUCACACGGUGGAAGUCACUGGUUCGAAUCCAGUACCGCCCACCA
rnacentral:tRNA from 3 species